rnacentral:lncRNA from 1 species
CCCGGCACCCCAAAAACCACCCCCGGGAUCACAAAAGCCACCCCCGGGGUCACAAAACUCAUCCCCGGGGCCCCAAAUCCACCGCUGUGCCCCAAAUCCGGUGCACAAAUCUCAUACUUGUGGCCCCAAAUCCCAAAAACCCACCCCCAGGACCCCAAAACCCACCCCCAGGACCCCAAAUCCACCCCCUGGCGCCCCAAAUCCACCUCUGGGUUCCCAAAUCCCAUCCCUGGGGCUCCAAAUCCACCCCCAGGACCCCAAAUCCACCUCUGGGUCCCCAAAUCCCACCCCCAGGACCCCAAAUCUACCCCCGGGAUCCAAAAUCCCGAUCCGAGGGCCCCAAAUCCCAUCCCCGAGACCUCAAAUCCACCCCUGGAACCCCAAAUCCAGCUCUGGGUCCCCAAAACCCAGCCCAAGCCCCCAAAUCCGGUCCAUGUGGCCCCAAAACGCCCCCCCGGGACCCCAAAUCCCGACCCCACAGCCCCAAACCCGGCCCCGUUCCCAUUGGGCUCCCUGCGGGGUCGGUGCCACCAACCCCAAAUGGACCUGGGAGGGAUCAAAGUUGAUUUGGGGGCGCUGGGAGGGGUUUUGGGGUCCCAAAGUUGGGUCCCGGGACCCUAAAAGUGGCCUGGGGGGUCCCAAAUUUGGUUUUAGGGGCUUGAAGUGGGAUUUAGGGGCUUGGAAUUGGCUUUGGGGGCCCAGAAUUGGGCUCCGGGACCCCAAACUCAGCCAGGGGGGCCCCAAAGUCAAUUUGGGGGGUCCCGAAAUUGUUUUUAGGGUAUUGAAGUUGGUUUUAGGGUCCCCAAAUUGGGCUCUGGGGCCUCAAAAUGGGGCUGGGAGACCCCAAAAUCCACUUGGGGGACCCCAAAGUCAGCCUGGGGGGGCCCGGGAGGGGCUUUGGGGUCCCAAAAUUGAGUUUGGGGUCCUGAAGUUGGCUUUGGGGCCCCAAAUUUGCAUUUGGGGUCCCCAAAUUGGUCGGGGGGGGCCCCAAAAUUGGUUUUGGGGUCCCAAACUUGGCUUUGGGGUCCUGAAAUGGGCUUUGGGGUCCCCAAAAGCGGCCGGGGGGGGGCCCAAAAUUGGCUUUGGGGUCCCAAACCUGGCCGGGGGGGU